AGUUAUCUUAGUUCUUUGAACUAAUAAUUGAUAACUUCUAUCUUUUUUUUUUGAAGCAGAUAAUUUUUUAGAAACUCCUUUCUAAAAAAUGGGAAAAAGUAUACAUUCUAUGACCACAAGACAAAAAAUAAGACAGGAAAGUGGUCCACCUAUUUUAGAAGCUGUAAUCAAUAAUGAUGAAGUGAAAAAUGGGACUGCACGUAAACGUAAAGGGCAAAAAAAACAAAAACCUCAGAGGAAGACAGACAGUAAAGCUGCUGAAGAGAUAGUUUACCCAAACAUAAACAAAACCAUCUUAAAUAAUAUCAAAGCUUUAAAUCUAGAAACAAAAAGAAGAGCGGAAGAGCAGGUCGCAACAGAGAAUCAAGAGAAACAUUUUGGAUAUAAUUUUAAUUUACAUGAGCCACUCAGUAGUAAUGUUAAUGGUCCCAAAAUUAACGGUGAAAAGACGAAACGUAAAUUAUAUACACCUGAGUGGAAUUAAUAAUUUUUAAAUUAGAUAUGUUAUUUCCUUUACUAUUUUCAAUUACCUCUUUUAAUCGAAAUGAGCGGGAAAGAUCAAUACUAUAUGCUCAACUUAUCUUACGGAUAAUAAAACAAUCAAUGUCAAAAAAUAUGAAUAAAAACAAAAUUUUCAAACGGCACCUUGUUUUAGUAGUAAUUAAGCUCUAAAAAAUUGAAAAAAUGGAAGAGGGUAAGAAAAAAAUUUAAUGGCUGAUAAAACUGCCAUUUCGGCUUAAAUUUUCUAAAAAAACUAAUUACUUUAAAUAUAUUGAAAGAGAAGAAAUAGUUAAUGGAAAUUACUUUAGCACACAAAUAUCUAAAAUUGAAAACAAAUUUUGAGUUCUCAAUUUACUUUACAGUAUUUCGGUAUAUUCUCAAUACAUUAUUAGAAUUUCGCUUA